rnacentral:rRNA from 1 species
AAACUGUAGAGUUUGAUUCUGGCUCAGAAUGAACGCUGGCGGCGUGCUUAACACAUGCAAGUCGAACGAGAAAGGGACUGCUUGCAGUCCCGAGUAGAGUGGCGCACGGGUGAGUAACGAGUAGAUAAUCUACCUUUGAAUUAGGGAUAACUAUGCGAAAGUGUAGCUAAUACCUGAUGAGGUCGAGUAGCCUUUGGGUUAUUUGAUGAAAGAGUGCUUUUUCGGAGGCACCAUAUUGCUAAAGUUCCCAUCUCUGUAUAUUCAGGCUCAAUAGUUACUGGAACAUAGCUUUUUUCCCCUUUUUUUCCAAAUCUGUUUACUGUUUGGA